rnacentral:rRNA from 1 species
UACGGGGGGGCGAAGCGUUGUUCGGAAUUACUGGGCGUAAAGGCCAGUAGGCGGCCAACUAAGUCGGAUGUGAAAUCCCCAGGCUCAACCUGGGAACUGCAUCCGAUACUGGAUGGCUUGAAUUCGGGAGAGGGAUGCGGAAUUCCAGGUGUAGCGGUGAAAUGCGUAGAUAUCUGGAGGAAUACCGGUGGCGAAGGCGGCAUCCUGGACCACAACUGACGCUGAGGCGCGAAAGCUAGGGGAGCAAACAGG